AAGCCCCGGGGCCCUUUGGGGCCCUUUUUCAAACUUGCAUUUUGACGUGAAAACACUACGGAGCU
rnacentral:tRNA from 1 species